rnacentral:lncRNA from 1 species
UUAGAAUCAAUCUUGAAUAUUUUUUCUCAUUGUAGAUCCUUCUUCUUCAAGUAGGAUCUCAGUCUUUUGAAUCUUUGAUCAAUCUUUGAUCUUUGACCGCGAACUCAACACUUGAACAGCAGCCUUUUUCCUCAUUCUUGAUGUAGAAGCAAUCACCCUCACCUUUGGGCAUAUGAGAAGAUGAGAUUCCCAACACUUGGGCAUUGGAAAGAG